rnacentral:misc_RNA from 1 species
GUGUUGUACAAAGCAAAAUAAUACUGAGAAAACAAUAAUUAAGAAAAUUACAUAUAAGUUUUUCUUAUAAUGUAAGACUUAAUAGGUAAACAUCAAGUAUAGAAUCAUUUGCAUAUCUGGUGUGCCGUCGUCCUAAAUGAAAGCUUUCACAUAUUUUCAAGAACAGCAAAGCUGAAUUUGAUAAUUCACAAUGCAGCUAUUAUUCUUUGUCACAUUGUCACUACCACAAUUAUUUUAAGAGGAGAUUUAUGUGCUUUAUAAGAUACAAUUGCUUGCUUCCUCACACAUCUUAGGUUGCCGCAUCAGCAUUUUUGGGCAACGGUGUAUUCGCAAACUUAAAG